GUGCCAGCAGCUGCGGUUAUACAAAAAAUACAAGUAAAUUUUAUUAAAUUAAGUUAAAUUGAUAAAUAUUUAAUAAUAAAAAAAUUUUUAGGUGAAAUUUUAAUUUUUUUAUUUUUAAAAUUAAAAGAAAUGUUGAAGCUAAAAAAUUUUGUUAAUAAACUAGGAUUAGAUACCCUAUUAUAAAAAAAUGUAUUUUUAAAAAAUUAGAGUAGUAAUAGUUAUGAUCUUGAAACUCAAAAAAUUUGGCGGUAUUUUAGUCUAUUCAGAGGAACCUGUGGUGUAAUCGAUAAUCCACGAUGAAUCUUACUUAUUUUUGUUUUUCAAUUUGUAUACCGCCGUUAUUUAAAAAUUUUUUGAAAAUAAUAAUUUUUAUAAUUUUUUAUUAAAUAAAAAGUCAGGUCAAGGUGCAGUUUAUAUUUAAGUAUUUCAUGGGUUACAAUAAAUUUAUUUAUACGGAUUAAAUUAUGAAAUUAGUUUAUGAAGGGGGAUUUGGUAGUAAAUUUUUAAAGAUUAAAAAAUUGAUUUUAGCUCUAAAAUAUG
rnacentral:rRNA from 1 species